GAAUUUAUAGCGUACCUGUUUAACCAGGGCGUGACCUCUCACUUUUUCAAACUCUGUGCACUUCUAAUGGGGGGGCCAAGGAAAGGCGAUUAGCUUCGCCUCGAAUUCGUGCCCGCUCGUUUUAUUAAACAUUUAAAGUCAAUGGUAUGGGAAAAAGAAACGAUAAAUAACCAAAAAAAACUUUCAACAACGGAUCUCUUGGCUCU
rnacentral:misc_RNA from 1 species